GACGAACGCUGGCGGCGUGCCUAAUACAUGCAAGUAGGACGCAGUUGGGAACGGGUGAGUAAAGCGUAGGUAACUACCUAUUAGAGGGGGAUAACAAUUGGAAACGAUAGCUCAUACAGCAUACUAGUAGAUGGACCUGCGUUGUAUUAGCUAGUAGGUAGGGUAAUGGGCUACCUAGGAAACGAUUCAUAGUCGAGCUGGGAAGGGUGACCGGCACAACGGGGACGGGACAAGGCCCAGGACCCUUACGGAGGGAGGAAGAGGGGAUUUUCGGCAAUGGGGGGAAACCUGAACGAACAAAGCCGCGGGAGGUGAGAAGGGUUUCGGAUCGGAAAGCUCUGUUGUUUAGGGAGCGGUACUUAACCAGAAAGGGACGGCUAACUACGUGCCAGCCGCCGCGGUAAUUC
rnacentral:rRNA from 1 species